UUGAUUUAAUCAGUAAGUUCAAAUAACAACCACUACAACAUGUUCUUGCUUUUGUACAGUGUGUGUUGUUUCAGAAAGACAGAAGACUGGACAGUGUGGAGCAGCUGGAUUUUCACAGCCUUUUCUGAUCACACAGGAGAUCACAGAAUGGAUGACCUGAGUGAUUUCCUGAAACAAAGGAAUAUUCCAGAGGAAACUAUCGAGACCAUGCUGAGAGAGAAGAUUGAUACCAACGUCAUCCAGCUCAUGACAGAUGAAGAGUUAAAGAAUUAUUUGCCAUCAUAUGGAGACCGCAUAGCCCUGUUAGGAUACUGUAAAAGAAAGGAAAAUGGCCCCCCAAACAGUCGCAAAUCAAAACUGUUUGAGCGCUUGAAAUCAAAGCUGGGUAAAAGAAGAACUGCUCAUGAAGAUGGCUGUGGUAUGGACAAAGAAGAGCAAUCUGAAACAACUGUAAAGAAGAAUGCUCUGAAGUCAAAGAGAAAAAUAGAAAUAGGCUGGCUGCUUUAU